UACGUAGGGUGCAAGCGUUAAUCGGAAUUACUGGGCGUAAAGCGUGCGCAGGCGGUUGUGCAAGACAGAUGUGAAAUCCCCGGGCUCAACCUGGGAACUGCAUUUGUGACUGCACGGCUGGAGUGCGGCAGAGGGGAUGGAAUUCCGCGUGUAGCAGUGAAAUGCGUAGAUAUGCGGAGGAACACCGAUGGCGAAGGCAAUCCCCUGGGCCUGCACUGACGCUCAUGCACGAAAGCGUGGGGAGCAAACAGGA
rnacentral:rRNA from 1 species